UACGGGGGGAGCAAGCGUUGUUCGGAUUUACUGGGCGUAAAGGGCGCGUAGGCGGCCACCGCAAGUCGACUGUGAAAUCUCCGGGCUUAACCCGGAAAGGUCAGCCGAUACUGCGGGGCUAGAGUGCAGAAGGGGCAACUGGAAUUCUCGGUGUAGCGGUGAAAUGCGUAGAGAUCAUGAGGAAGACCAGUGGCGAAGGCGGGUCUCUGGACAGUUCCUGACACUGAGGCACGAAGGCCAGGGGAGCAAACGGG
rnacentral:rRNA from 1 species